UACGUAGGGUGCAAGCGUUUAAUCGGAAUUACUGGGCGUAAAGCGUGCGCAGGCGGUUAUGUAAGACAGAUGUGAAAUCCCCGGGCUCAACCUGGGAACUGCAUUUGUGACUGCAUCGCUGGAGUGCGGCAGAGGGGGAUGGAAUUCCGCGUGUAGCAGUGAAAUGCGUAGAUAUGCGGAGGAACACCGAUGGCGAAGGCAAUCCCCUGGGCCUGCACUGACGCUCAUGCACGAAAGCGUGGGGAGCAAACAGG
rnacentral:rRNA from 1 species